UAUGACACAGUAAAGUAUGACACAGUGCUGUAUGACACAGUGCAGUAUGACACAGUGCUGUAUGACACAGUGCAGUAUGACACAGUGCAGUAUGACACGGUGCAGUAUGACACGGUGCAGUAUGACACGGUGCAGUAUGACACGGUGCAGUAUUACAUGGUGCAGUAUGACACGGUGCAGUAUCACAUGGUGCAGUAUAACAGUGCAAUAUGACACAGUGCAGUAUGACACGCUUCAGCAUGGCACAGUGCAGUAUGACACAGUGCAGUAUGACACACUGCAGUAUGACACGCUUCAGCACGGCACAGUGCAGUAUGACACAGGGCAGUAUGACGCAGUGCUGUAUGACACAGUGCAGUAUGACACGGUGCAGUAUGACACGGUGCAGUAUGAGAUGGUGCAGUAUAACAGUGCAAUAUGACACAGUGCAGUAUGACACACUGCAUUAUGACACAGUGCAGUAUGACACAGUGCAGUAUGACAGAGUGCUGUAUGACACAGUGCAGUAUGACAUGGUGCAGUAUGACACGGUGCAGUAUGACAUGGUGCAGUAUAGCAGUGCAAUAUGACACAGUGCAGUAUGACACACUGCAGUAUGACACGCUUCAGCAUGGCACAGUGCAGUAUGACACAGUGCUGUAUGACACAGUGCAGUAUGACACGGUGCAGUAUGACACGGUGCAGUAUGACAUGGUGCAGUAUAACAGUGCAAUAUGACACAGUGCAGUAUGACACAGUGCAGUAUGACACGCUUCAGCAUGGCACAGUGCAGUAUGACACAGUGCAGUAUGACACAGUGCAGUAUGACACAGUGCAGUAUGACACAGUGCUGUAUGACACAGUGCAGUAUGGCACGGUGCAGUAUAACAUGGUGCAGUAUAACAGUGCAAUAUGACACAGUGCAGUAUGACACACUGCAGUAUGACAUGCUUCAGCAUGGCACAGUGCAGUAUGACACAGUGCAGUAUGACACAGUGCAGUAUGACACGGUGCAGUAUGACACGGUGCAGU
rnacentral:lncRNA from 1 species